rnacentral:rRNA from 1 species
UACGUAGGGUGCAAGCGUUAAUCGGAAUUACUGGGCGUAAAGCGUGCGCAGGCGGCUUUGCAAGACGGAUGUGAAAUCCCCGGGCUCAACCUGGGAACUGCAUUUGUGACUGCAUGGCUGGAGUGCGGCAGAGGGGGAUGGAAUUCCGCGUGUAGCAGUGAAAUGCGUAGAUAUGCGGAGGAACACCGAUGGCGAAGGCAAUCCCCUGGGCCUGCACUGACGCUCAUGCACGAAAGCGUGGGGAGCAAACAGG